rnacentral:rRNA from 1 species
GAGUUUGAUCCUGGCUCAGAUUGAACGCUGGCGGCACGCCUAACACAUGCAAGUCGAGCGGCAGCAUGAUGUGUAGUAAUACACAUUGAUGGCGAGCGGCGGACGGGUGAGGAACACGUAGGAAUCUACCCUCAAGCGGGGGACAACCAAGGGAAACUUUGGCUAAUACCGCAUAAACUCGGAAGAGAAAAGUUGCUCGUAAGGGUGACACUUGGGGAGGAGCCUGCGUCCGAUUAGCUAGUUGGUAGGGUAAGAGCCUACCAAGGCGAUGAUCGGUAACUGGUCUGAGAGGACGACCAGUCACACUGGGACUGAGACACGGCCCAGACUCCUACGGGAGGCAGCAGUGGGGAAUCUUGGACAAUGGGGGCAACCCUGAUCCAGCGAUGCCGCGUGAGUGAAGAAGGCCU